AUGAACGCUGGCGGCGUGCCUAAUACAUGCAAGUCGAGCGAACAGACGCGGAGCUUGCUCCUCUGACGUUCGCGGCGGACGGGUGAGUAACCUGUGGAUAACCUACCUAUAAGACUGGGAUAACUUCUGGAAACCGGAGCUAAUACCGGAUAAUAUAUUGAACCUCAUGGUUCAAUAGUGAAAGUCGGUUUUGUUGUCACUUAUAGAUGGAUCCGCGCCGCAUUAGCUAGUUGGUCAGGUAACGGCUUACCAAGGCAACGAUGCGUAGCCGACCUGAGAGGGUGAUCGGCCAGACUGGAACUGAGACAGGGUACAGACACCUACAGGAGGAAACAGUAGGGAAUCUUACGCGAGGGGCGAAAGCGUGACGGAGCAACGCCGCGUGAGUGAUGAAGGUCUUCGGAUCGUAAAACUCUGUUAGUAGGGAAGAACAAAUGUGUAAGUAACUAUGCACGUCUUGACGGUACCGAAUCAGAAAGCCACGGCUAACUACGUG
rnacentral:rRNA from 1 species